GCCCCGUUAGCUCAGUGGCAGAGCGUGCUCGUCUUUUCUUCGGCAAGGCGCUGGUUCGAUUCCAGCACGGGGCA
rnacentral:tRNA from 1 species